AAGAUGACGAGCGGCGGACGGGUGAGUAAUGCUUGGGAACAUGCCUUGAGGUGGGGGACAACAGUUGGAAACGACUGCUAAUACCGCAUAAUGUCUACGGACCAAAGGGGGCUUCGGCUCUCGCCUUUAGAUUGGCCCAAGUGGGAUUAGCUAGUUGGUGAGGUAAUGGCUCACCAAGGCGACGAUCCCUAGCUGGUUUGAGAGGAUGAUCAGCCACACUGGGACUGAGACACGGCCCAGACUCCUACGGGAGGCAGCAGUGGGGAAUAUUGCACAAUGGGCGCAAGCCUGAUGCAGCCAUGCCGCGUGUGUGAAGAAGGCCUUCGGGUUGUAAAGCA
rnacentral:rRNA from 1 species